CCUACGGGUGGCAGCAGUCGAGAAUCAUUCACAAUGGGGGAAACCCUGAUGGUGCGACGCCGCGUGGGGGAAUGAAGGUCUGCGGAUUGUAAACCCCUGUCAUGUGGGAGCAAAUUAAAAAGAUAGUACCACAAGAGGAAGAGACGGCUAACGCUGUGCCAGCAGCCGCGGUAAUCCAGAGGGCUCAAGCGUUGUUCGGAACCACUGGGCGUAAAGGGUGCGGAGGCUGUUUCGUAAGUCGUGUGUGAAAGGCGCGGGCUCAACCCGCGGACGGCACUUGUUACUGCGAGCCUAGAGUAAUGGAGGGGGAACCGGCAUUCUCGGUGUAGCCGUG
rnacentral:rRNA from 1 species